UUCAACCCGCAGUGCCCUUCCUUCCCUCCCUCUCCUCCCCCGUUUCAUCUUCACCGAGUCCAGCAGCUCGACGAGCGCUCGGCAGCGGCGGCGGAACCCCGACGGCGACGGCGGCCCAGGGAGGUGAGCAGGAGGAGGACCAUAGGUCAGGGAGUGUUUGGUUUCAGGGAGAUCGUUGGGGAGGAGUUCAUGACCAUGUUCCUGUCAGUUUUUAGCAGUAUGGUUCAGUGACUGGUUUAGGAGGAUGUAGAGAGAACGGUGUUCAUACAAUUCAGUGCAGCAUCAACAGACGUGUUCCUAAUUUUGAUGAUUAUUAGAGAGAAAGAGAGAUGACAUGGUGACCGAAAGUCUAUGUGUUUGUGUCGUGUACGUGUCGGGCAGUGGUAGAUUAAACAUAUUAUGUAAUGGGACUUGGCAAGGGAUAGAGACUGGCAUGAUUUUUUUUCUGAGCAGCAAAUUGGCGCAACCCUUCGUGAUUUUUGAAGUUUGGACAGAGUUAUGAACCAUUCGCCGCCUAAUCCGUAGAUUAUUUCUAGGAUCAAUAUGGUGGCCAUCAGGGUUCCCAUCACCGUGCAUGCCAAGCUUGAGCUCCUCAAGAAUGCCACCAAGCUGGCGUGUAAUGGAUGAUGGCUGAUGCAACGGUGGAGGAGGCAUAUUGAUGUCAGUUUGAAGCAAAUCAGGAGAACGCCGCCAUCGGUUAGGUUGCCAGGUGAAGGAAUUGCAGCGGACUGGUGGCAAGGCUUUUCAACUCACCACCGUUUGAGUUCAUCAUCUGUCGCUACUGCACCCACUCAGCCGUAUCCAUGUUUGCAUAUUCUCCAGCCCGUUGAAUAAUCCACGGUAAGUGGUUAGGAGCUACAUAUUUUCCACUUUUGCCAUGUUUUAUACACCGAACUGAUAUAUUCUUUGACAUGAAACUAGAUUCCGAUCUUCUGGUCUUGCCUACUGUUUACUUAUUCAAAUUGAUUCAGUUUUCUGUUUGUAUGCAUUUGUCAUAUUAUAAGUUGUUGCACGCUGCCGCAAGCUGCCCGGAGCCACGCAACCUCUGUCCUAAUGGCACGACAUCACUUACAAUUCUGGCUCCACUUCCUCUAGGCAGCAUAGUCGUUUAAACCCAUAAUAUGAGAGACAGUUUAGCUCCCCGAUGGUAGUUGGAUGCUGCUAUGGAGGAAUAAAAGGAACAUUGUGAUUAUAGGCACAUUUUGAAUAAUAGCAGGAAGGAGCUGCUGGAACUAACUAAUGCUAGAAAGUAAUUUCUUGAUCUAUUUACUCGAGUAGUUGUUGAGGUAAAGGAAUAUGGUUUUUGGGCCCAAGUAGCAUUUACAUUAAUAGUGAUUUUUGUGAGAAGAAAAAUAUUAUAGGCUGAUUCAUAUUGUUAUAGUACCAACUUAUCUCAGAAACAGAGAAGCACCAAGCUGGACUGCUGGCCGAGGAGAUGCAUAUGUGGGCACUUUCUGCUGGCCAAGUUCAGAAGCAAAUUAACUGCUUAUAUUUACAUAAGAAACAGAGAGAAAAUGGUAAAGAACUUAGCAAAAAAUGGUAUUUGAGGCUUAUAAUGUGUUGCACUUUCUGCUGUAACACAUCCACUGUUUAGUGUGUUUUAAAGUAGCUUUAUCCUAUUUUCGCUUGAACAGAAAGGAGAAAGAAAUGUCUAAGAAGCCAAAGGUAUUGCUGCAGCUGAUAUGUCGCCUACUCCUUUGGAUACCAUUCAUAUCGUACUUAACUCAGUGAGCAAAUUGAGGACUACGGUUAUCUUCCAUGUCUAUGUGAAAUAACUGCGAUAGUUUCAUAACACCAAAUGGUCCAGAGUGCAUCCAAUACAUGGUCAACAACACCGCUGAUUUUCACGAAACCGAUAAUAUUACUGGUCAGUGUAGAUAUGGGUUUUAUAAUUUCGUCAAAUGCAGCUAUGUUAUACUAACAACCUGUGUUUGCAUGUCCUAAUUUAUGUCUGCAAAAGCUGUAUCUUUUGUUGAGCUAUAUUAUGUGUAUGUACGUGCAUGUUGCACAUAGAUGUUAUUUGGCAUGCAUGAAUUCUAAUUUUAAUUUAAAGUUAGGCACGCCUAAUCUCACACACCACAAAAUUUCCUUACUGCGCACUACAUCUUUUAUCUCCAAUUUGGAUAGUCUAAGCAAUAACUCUUUAGUCUGAUUUAUCUUCAAAAGUUUGCUAGAGGCAAUAGAUGACCUUCUGGUUUUUCUUCAAUGAUUUUUUAGAGUGCAAUAGUAUGAACUGAUUUCCCCAUCAGCGUUGUAUUUUCUUUUGUCUGAUAGAUUCUAUAGUCAUGUACUUCCUUUCAUGUGCCCAUGUUUGUCGUUAUAUGUGCCUUUCUUGUUGAGCUCUAUUUGGAUGAACUUUUGUUGUUGUGGAAUGUGGCUACAUGGACAUGAACGAACAUUUUAAUCUAACCUCGUUUGAGAUGUUCUUUUAUGCUUAACUCAGGGACUCAGCUUUGCGUGGUCAGUGAUGACAAUCGACAGCGUCUCUGUUAAAAAUUAUUCGUAAUUACUAGCAGCAUUCCAUAAUUUGUAUCGCGCUGUUCUUUUUUUUUUUUUGAGGAAAGGCUUGUAUCAGGCUGUCCUGGUGUGGCGACCUACAAAGGACAAACAGGGUCGGUCAUCACCAAAGAUGAAAACAUUGUCGAGCCUUACUUUUUGCAAGUUGCCUUAUUUCUAUUACUUUUA